GACGAGCCACACAAACGUUAUUCGGAAUUACUGGGCUUAAAGGGUGCGUAGGCGGCGCGGAAAGUUGGGUGUGAAAGCCCUCGGCUCAACCGAGGAAUGGCGCCCAAAACUACCGUGCUCGAGGAAGACAGAGGUGAGCGGAACUCAGGGGUGGAGCGGUGAAAUGCGUUGAUAUCCUGAGGAACACCGGUGGCGAAAGCGGCUCACUGGGUCUUCU
rnacentral:rRNA from 1 species